rnacentral:rRNA from 1 species
CGUAGGGAGCAAGCGUUGUUCGGAUUUACUGGGCGUAAAGGGCGCGUAGGCGGCAUAUUAAGUCAGCUGUGAAAUCUCCGAGCUUAACUCGGAACUGUCAGCUGAUACUGAUGUGCUCGAGUGCGGAAGGGGCAAUCGGAAUUCUUGGUGUAGCGGUGAAAUGCGUAGAUAUCAAGAGGAACACCUGAGGUGAAGACGGGUUGCUGGGCCGACACUGACGCUGACAGCGCGAAAGCCAGGGGAGCAAACGGGAUUAGAUACCCCGGUAGUCCUGGCCUUAAACGAUGAAUACUUGGUGUCUGGAGUCUCUAUAGCUCCGGGUGCCGUCGCUAACGUUUUUAGUAUUCCGCCUGGGGAGUACGCACGCAAGUGUG